rnacentral:rRNA from 1 species
GACGAACGCUGGCGGCGUGCCUAAUACAUGCAAGUUGAGCGAUGAAGCUUGGUGCUUGCACCAAUUUGAAGAGCAGCGAACGGGUGAGUAACGCGUGGGGAAUCUGCCUUUGAGCGGGGGACAACAUUUGGAAACGAAUGCUAAUACCGCAUAACAACUUUAAACAUAAGUUUUAAGUUUGAAAGAUGCAAUUGCAUCACUCAAAGAUGAUCCCGCGUUGUAUUAGCUAGUUGGUGAGGUAAAGGCUCACCAAGGCGAUGAUACAUAGCCGACCUGAGAGGGAGAGCGGCCACAUUGGGACUGAGACACGGCCCAAACUCCUACGGGAGGGAGCAGUAGGGAAUCUUCGGCAAUGGACGAGAGUCUGGCCGAGCAACGCCGCUUGAGUGAAGAAGGUUUUCGGAUCGUAAAACUCUGUUGGUAGAGAAGAACGUUGGUGAGAGUGGAAAGCUCAUCAAGUGACGGUAACUACACAGAAAGGGACGGCUAACUACGUG